AUCAGGCGAUCAUAAUGCCCCCCAAUAUUCCAGCGGCAUAUGUAUGUUUCAUAACGGUUGAUCAUCGUGUGUCAGGUACUCAGGCGACCCAUUAUAGCCAUACAUCCGGAAGUUGUGUUUACAGAAAAGCUGUGCAGCUUCAAUAGAUCAACAACUGAAUUCUGAAAGUUACCAUCUACUCUACCUAAAUAGCAACAGACGAAAAUGUGGCAUUCUGAGUUUUGAUUUCUGGGAUCAUCAAGUAAAUGUUUUCCCCAGAUUCCUCCCAAAUGGCGACUCUGGCAAUCUGCUGCCCACUUGGGAACCUCUGCUCAGUCAAUUUUGAGAAUACCUGAAAAUCAGCAGUAGUUUUGGUAAAAGAAACAACAAUGAGGUUUAAUAUCACUAUACUUACUCUAGUCAAACACGCAAAUCAAGCAUAUUCCUACAAAAGGGUGUUCUCUAGAAAGCGAAAGGAUGGAUAGGGAAGAAAAUGAGGAAAACAGACAUUCUAGAGCUUCAACGCUCUGCCCAUUGCGUACAUGAUCAACAAGAAAUAACUGAAUCCAGAUAUAACUCUGAUGGGAGUAAAGUAAUCCUAAAAGUUGGCCCAAUUCAUUGUUUCAUACUAGCAAGCACAUCGGGCUGUAGAAAUGCAAUCCACAAGUCAACAGAAAGGAAAACGGAAGGCAUACCGGGGAAUGGAGAAAUGCAAUCCUAAAAAUCAGUUUAAGUAUACCUGCCAUAGGAAUGGAGACAAUGCAGUUGCAACUGGAAAAGAAGGCACAUGCCUCUUCCUGCCACCACGCCUGACAGACACAGUAAACAACAUAACCUGAAGAAAAGAACAAACAAUCAGGAAAAAUCAUUUUUGAUCAUGGAUAGAGGCGCAGCCCACCGCAACACAACAUUUUCAUCAGAUUUCCAAGUAAAUUAUCAUCAGUAGAGCAACCAGACAACUGAGUUAGAAAAGGUUAUGGUUGUUUCAAAGUAACUGACAAGUAAAACUAUGAUAUGCAGAUGAUAUGAUCCGGAUGGCAGUAGUAUGCCAAGUAGUCAUACUGUCUGAGGCAUUAAGAAAUUUAAAUUGCAAAAUGCAAAUUACUACGGGUGUCAUAAUGUUGUGUACAAGAGUCACCUUCAGAGCAAGGGCUGCAGUAGGAGUGUACAGGAGCUGCAACUGUGGGAUUACAACAUGGAGAGGGAACAGGGAAGCAGCAGCACUUACGAAAAGACAUGCCGUCCUGCAGAACUUACGACCCAGAUCCUAUGUUCGGAGGGUGCAAGCUUCCGAUUUGAUAAGGUGUUUCUAAGGACGAACUUGACUCCCAAGCUCCCAUGUUCUCGGGGGGCAUGAUGCCAAACUGAAGCGAUCUUUGUGACACUUCAUCUUGAGCAGCAGCAUUUCGUACUUCAAAUGACGAUAUCCCUAGUUUUUCUUGUAAAGCUUCUACCUCCAAAACUUCAUUGGUUAUAUCCAGGCCAAGCUUCGCAGAAAGUGACUGCAUGUAUACAAGAUGAUCAGCUGCAUAAACAGACUAUAGAACUCCAUAUAGAAUGCAAUUCUAGAAAUAUAACCCCAGAAAUAUAAUCGAGAGUAAACAAAUGCAAAUUUAUCCACUUCGUAGCCUCUAAGAUACAAAAAGGGAAAUACUGGAAAUAAUAGGGGUAUUAACAACUCAGAUACCCUUAUCUGGUGGCUCAGGAAAGCUGAUAGCUUGGCCAUUCGCUCCAAUUGCUGGCCUCGGGUCGAACUGCCUUGGUCCUCACCACCUUUCUCUUCUGUAGCUUCGUCAAUGUUACACUCUUCACUAACUCCAUAAGAGGUACCAGAAUCUAGCAUUUUGAUGAUAGAAGAAGCAUUUUUGACUUCAUAUAGAACUUGAAUAGGAGAGACCAUGCAGUCUUUAGCACUGGUAACCAAGAACUAGCGUUACUCCAUAAACAACUAAAAUAAUACAAAAAAAAAGACAGCAACCCAUGGGGAAGAUAGCCCAACAAUACAUUUAAAACUAAAAUAAUACACAAAUAGAUACUUCAGGAGACUCACAUUUUUUCAAUUUCUAAGUCCUGCCCAAUAGGAUGCUCCAAAAGGUCGAACAGCAUAUCAGCAACAAAGUCGCCAAAUGUAUCAGGGAUCAACAACUCAGUGGCACCAUCAUCCUUAUACACUUUUUGGUCAUCAACCUAUUCCAGAAGUACAGAUGCAUUAGACGUUUCUAAUUUAUAGUUCAGAGUUCAUAUAAAAAAAGCAUAAAAAGUAAAAACUGAGGCACAUACCACACUGUUUCUUGAUACAUGGGUACCAAAGUUCCUAAUUAGGAAGAAGGCAUAAGUGAUCGGGAAGUCAGAUGACAACAUUUGGUUAAGAAGGUCCCGUUCAUGAGCAUCAUCUUUGACUUCACGUCCCCAUAACAAUAUCUUCUUGAAUAUGCCAAGCUGCUCAACUUUGUCUGUCCAAUUUUUAUCGAUCAUGCAUGUGCUCAACAAAUAGAAGAAGUCAUCUUUCUUGCUUGAUAGGAAACCAUCAACCUUAAUCUUGAUUUGGUACAUGACAUUCGCUCGCCCCAUUGAUGAUUUAAAGCAGCAAUGGGUAUCUAAACCCAAUCUGUAGGAUGUCGUGAGAGGCCCAUCUGGUAUAUUCUGUAAUUUCUUAACAAGAUGCAAAAGAUAUGGCGGGUAGUUCCCAUCCAAACUGAAGAAAGCCAAUAUAUAUUUUGCAAGGCGUUUGCCAUCAAGUUUCUUUUCGCCAGUUUGUCCUAGCUGUGGAUUGGGGUUUUUGAGUACAUGUACUUGGCCUCUCAAAAGAAUAAAAUGACUCAAAUUGAAUCUUCCAUUCCAACUAAGACCAGAGGCGAGGACAGCUGUGAAACAUUGCACCCAGCUGCUUAGCACAGCACAUGCUUCAUCGGUCAUCUUCAGCUUUACUGUUUCCUUUUCAGGCAGUUUAACAUAUUUAAGGAGCCUGUUGCCAAUUUUGCCUUCAGUUGAUUUAGGUUUAGCUUUACGGAAGUAUUCUUGUAGUGAAAUUGCUGUUAACAAAAAAAUAGUAUGAGACUGUGCCUUUUUCUAUAUCUAUUAUUACAGCAUUAAUGAAUAGUUCAAAAAAGAAAAAGGUAGACCAAAUGUAACAGUAACUCUAGUAAAAUGAACAAUAAUGUGGAUAAAGAGCAUUGAAGCAUGUGUGGACCUAGCAUGACUCACAGGUAUUCCUAGGAAUCAAAAUCAGUAUGUAUCAGGAAUAUACAUGUGUAUGUCUCAGAGGACACAGCAAAGCUUGGUUUUGCAAUCGCAUGGUUGCAGCAAGGCAUGCUUAUCACUUUAUCAGUGACUCUGUUGCAUACGACCCACACUUGGGAGUUUAUGAGUAUGUAAAUUUUCAUGUAUGAAAACAAGUGCUAUGAAUUAGAAUAACACUAAAGUGUGUUAAUUACAAUUACAGCCAUUUAAGAUUUUGAAUUCCUUAUAGCAAAUGUUGGUUGGAAAUCCUCCCAAAGCUAUAUAACCACACUGUGGGGAUUGCCCUCUCAUUUAACAAGAAACUCGUGCCUUGCACGCUAAGUAGUGAAUCUUAUGAUGGGAUGCAGAUGGUUAAUUUCCAACUGAUUCUCUUUACACAGUGAAGCUAUUAUUUUGAAUUUUUUUCUUAAUUAUUUGAGGUACCUACAUUAUGACAAUUUGUAUUUUAGUUCAUGCUACCGUGGACAUUUCACAUUCUUUUAUUUGAAUCUUUAAAGGAAUUCCCAAGUGCCACAUCCUAGGUCUGCUACUGUAUUGAAGUCAUGGAGAAAAUAAGUGGUAAGUCAUUAACAAUAACCUUCUUUGAAGAAAAAUGCUGCAUCCACGAUGCCUAAAAGCUCAUCUGAUAAUUUAGAGACUUCCUCAUGCAGCAAAGACAGAGCAGUAGAAUCUGGAAAUGAAGGGCCUAAUGACUUAGGCAGUGGAGGUCUUGGCUUGAGUUCCCUGAUCGGAGCAAUCCUCGGCACAAUCUUCCGGGGAUGGUACCCGUAAGCAAGCGCUGCUGAUUGAGUCAGUGAUGUGAGAUGUGCUCCUCCUUCAAAACAUGCACCUGCUGUUAUGUCACCCUGUCGAUUGGAACCGAUAUUUCAAUUAAAACAGCACAUCAUAAAACAAUUUCAGCCUAUAUUCAUAACCUUAAGGCCUUAAGCUAGGCAAUAGGCAUGCUUCCUUGCACCAAAACUCAACUAAUACACAAAGAAUGCUGAUUAGUCUCACGAUUUCAGUUUAAUUUACUGCCUGACCCAAUGGAAGUAUCCAUACAUUUGGAAACCAAGCACAUGUAGGAAUAAAUAGUGUACAUUGAAGGAUGGCAGUUCAAUGAAAAAAAUUGCCCAAAAGAUAAAGUGGUAGGACUGAAGAGAAGUAAAUGAAUGAGAUACUCCAUGCAAUACCUACGAAAGGAACCCUUUACAGAGCAAUAUGGAUCAUAUGCCUUACCAAGAACAUUUAAAUUAACCAGUUUACAUGUGAAAUGUGUAGCUCAAACAUAACACAACGCUCCUCAGCAACAAUAAAACGUUUCCAGGGCCAAAAAUCAUCAUUCAUCUAUCAGCAUAACCUAAUUACCAAGGGAUUAUAUGGUUUAUUUAUCAUGCUGAUACACACCAAUGACCAGCCAUAUGAAUUGAAUUGCAUUAUAUGAAAUCAAUAACAAAUUACCAAUGGCAGUUCUAAAUUAAGUGUAAUUACAGCUGAAUUUUCACCUGCUCAUCUCUCCCAUCCAAGUACUUCAAACUGGGGAUCAACUGGAAGAUAUUAUGUCGGUCCCCGAGGAAGUUGGUGAUGGGGCAACCGCAGAGAUCGAGCGAGUCGAUAGCAACGUCGGCUAGUGGAGUGAGCUCAUCCAACUCAGAGUACAGGUUAUCACCAAGGUCCAGCAAACGAAGCGUGGCGCCACAGGAUCCCCGGAUGGCGUCGAGGGAGGAGGCGCCCAACAAGCGAUUACGGGGGAGGUACAAGCGAAGGAGCUUCGGUAGUCGGGGCAGGCCGGCGAGAGAGUUAAGACCUGCGUCGGCGAUGGAUAGCUCGACGAGGGAUCGAGCGACGGGCCUGAAGAGAAUCGGCCUGGGGAGGCGGCCCGUGGAGGACUUGACGGUCCCGUCGAGGACUAGCGUCGUGGACGCGGAGGUCGAGGUACUCGCGGAGGCGGCGUCCGCGAUGGCGCUCCUCCACGCCGCUUCAUCCUCUGCGCCGGCGGCGGCGGCCAUUCUGCGGCGGCGGUCGGAGGCACAACCCUAACAAAACCCCGAGUUGGAGGUACGGCGUGCGGAAGUGGAUGCGCCUGGCGGUGGGUGGACUGGGCGAUGCGGGGGUGUACAAGGCUGUGCAAACGGCGGCAGGAACGUCGCCUCCAGCUGGCUUAGCAAGGAGUGGAUGACUGGUGGACCCACCUCAGGAUGUAAGGCAAGAAAAGAGAUGGAACUGGCGUAUGUUUCGCUCCUUCCUCUCAAAUGCCCCAGUAUAUACCUCAUCUAAAAAAAGUUAGCGAGGCUUCUCUGCAGGAGAACUGGAGGGGAAAGAUUGCCACCCUUUCGAGCGCUUUUCCUUUUCAUUUUUGACCCGACAAUCUAUCGUAACGGUUUGAAUCGCGUAGAUCAUUUUAGCAGCUCCCAAAUUCUUUUCCAAAACCUUCAUCUAUUUAUCAAGAGUUAUCUUUAUUGUCUGGAACUAUAUUGGACGCGUUCGGUUAUGCUGCAGUUGCAAGCAGCCGCUACAGCAACUGCAGCCAGCCAACAAACGCUGCUACCAAAGAACAGCUCCUGCAGCCAUCCAACAAUGGCUGCAGCGCUGCUGCUUAUUUGAACAGCAUUUCAAAAAUAGUGGGAAUUUGACAACAGAACCGUCCAAGACUCAACACAGAAAUGACCAUAUUGCACUCAAGCUUAGCUCGUAGCAACAACUCACUGCUAACUUAAACCCCAAAUUAGGCAUAAGGUGAUGGUUACAUCAUAUCCAUAACAAAAUAUUCACCAGGUAGACCAGUACACCACACAUCGUCCAAUUCUGAUGGUAAAAUCAUAUUACAAAUCAUGCUAAAUCAUACAGUUCAACUGCAAUCAAAUCACGGAGACUAACAAUAUUGUCAUUAGCUGUAGCUACUAACCAAUCCUACCAUCCGAAGACAAGAAUGAUGAUAGUUACAAACUUCAUUUAAACUUUCAGGACCUUUGACAUCAAAGUCCUUCAAAUGGCACCUGCUAUUGCGACAUGAUGCCAUAUAACCCUCACGUAUUGAGUAAUCAAAAUCCACCAAGUAAUACUUAUCUACAAGUCAACAUUUGUAAUUUAGAUAUGGCAAGCUCAUAUGUUAGUUAUUAUAUGGCAUAUAGUCAAAAUAUGCUGACCUAGUAACUAUAUGGCAUGCAGUCAACAAUGUAAUCUAAUCAAUGCAAACCAUAUAGUCCAGUUGCAAUCCAAUCACGAACUUUACUAAUAUCAUCGUUGGAGUAGCGAACCAAUCUGAUGCAAGGUUAUUUUCAUCACCAGUCCUAAUAAGGUAGGUGCCAUGACCAAACAUGUCGGUAGCAAGCAUUCCAGGUUCGUUGUUGUCCAAUGCAAAAUUAUGUAGUGCAAAGCAUGCAACAAUAAUCUUUGAUUGUUUCUCCAUACUAUAUAACAGUAUCCCUCUUAGAAUCUGCCACUUAUUCUUUAGCACUUCAAAAGACCGUUUCACAACAUUUUGAAGGCACUAAUGAUGGUAGUUAAAAAUUUCAUUCAAAUUCUCAGAACAUUUGGAUAACACAAUGAAGAAUAAACAUUGAUAUAUUGUGAGAUUAUGAAAUUUUACCGUACUGAUUAUCCUUUACUACUUCAUUUUCUCUUUAUGCCUACGGCCAUCCAUCUUGGGAAUGAGUAAAAAAGAAUGUGCACAAUAUGCAACAACCAUUAUCAUGAGUUACCAUUACAAUUUUGCAUUUGCUAAAAAAAAGAAUAGAUCGAAAAAGCUAUCAGGACUCUUCCAGUGUGAUUCUGACUUACGAAGUAAGAACACUAGUGUAGCUAACAAAAUUGAAACGUUAGAAUUUCUGACAUCGGAAACUGAACUAUGUCCAAAGAAAAAGAAAAAACGUAAGAUAAAUCCGUAAUCAAUUUCGCACGAUAUAAGAGCUUACGGCCUAAUCAAAGGCACACGAGAUCUUACCCCAGCUUAUGUGUUCAGAUGCACGAAAUCUAGCAGCGUACAAACGUGUAGAUCGAGAAUGGAGAGGAUUAGAGAUUGGAGGGAUACUCACGUUGGCAGGCUACCUCGAUCUACAGAGUCAUUGGUCGACACCGGCUCCAGCAAGAUCCCGUCGCUGGUGAGGGAACGGAUCAAGGAGGCACCGAGAACUCGAUUUGGAGCCCUCCUAGCGCGACAACCUUCACGGGGGUGGGAUGCAACGGGCGGCAGCCGGCCUCGAAACCCUACCUUCUCUCGAGUUCAGUGGGAGGCGACUGGGGGAACCGGAGACGAGAGUUGACCAGAUGGGAACCGGAGAAUGUGAGAUAAACCUACAGUUGAUCGGCUGGGCUGCUGGCUGUUGCUGUUUGGGCCGCAGCCGAAUGGCUGGGCUAUACAGAGCUGCAGCGGGCCGAGUUCAGUGGGAGGUGACUGGAGGAACCGGAGACAGGAGUUGACCAGAUGGGAACUAGAGAACGCGAGAUAAACCUGCAACUAUGUGAGAUAAGCCUACAGCUGUUCGGCUGGGUUGUUGGCUGUUUCGAUUUGGGCCGCAGCCGAACGGCUGGGCUGUACAACCACAGCUACAGCGGACCAAAAAUCAGCAGCAAACAGGUCCACAGUGUCAAUUUCAUGUUUAAAAAUUCUGUUUGUUAUGGCUAUUUCGGCUUGUAUUGACGUUUCGGCAACAAGGAGACACCGUACCCGAGGCAGUAGUCUAUCUUGAUUGUUAGCACCGAAUUGUCUUGAUAAACAAACUUUGCAAGCUAUUACAAUAGUUUUGUUUACGCUAUAAUUUUGUGCCAUGGUCACCAUUUUAGAUAGAGUUACAAAAGCACUUCCACGCUCAAAUGUUGAGCCAUAUUGACAAAAAAAAAAGCUAUACAAACUAGGAUAGGAACGCAAUUUGCGGUGAUCCCGUGAUACGAUUAGUGUAGGUCAUCAGUAUUGGGGAAAAUAAAUGAUUCUUAAAAUGAUAAAGCCAUAAUUCUAAGCUUCUAACCUAGGACAAUUCCUCUUCAAAACUAGUGUCAUUAUGCCGUAGUACAUUGCUAUCCUAGCACUAGUUUCCCGCCAAAAUGUUCUGCUUCUUGGGCCUGGGAGGCUGGGAGUGCAGCCCACAAAGUAGCCAGGAGCUAUCACCUAGAGGCCCAACUGAACAAGCUGAAGCCGUUAGUUAGGCUCCAGGCUCCUCUGACGAAAAAUGGAAAACAACCCAAGCUAUACUGACCAUCCAAUUAAGAUACAAAGUUAUCAGAAAAUCAUCCAUAAAUUUCUUACUCGUACAACUGGCAGAGCCUAUUUUUAUUACAGCCAAGCUGCAAAAGCAAAUCAUUCUGCAAGACCUGAAAAUGUAUUAAGCCUGAACUGCUGAAGCGCUGAUCAGUUGCCGCCAGCAAGUGAAUGCUGAACUGCUAACCCACUGAAAGCCUGAAAACAAUGUGAUUCCAGAAAUCUCUUGCUGCAGAUAACAAGUCCAAGUAAGUUAAACAAUUAUGCAUCAACCUUUUUAUAACUUCUAAAAAAACCUUUUUAUAGGAAAAGAUGAUCCAUUAUCUUCCAACACAACACGUAGUUCUAUGUGAUGGUUGGUCCUUGGCACUUGGCACAUGAUGAUUGAGCUGAGUUCUUCGGCCGCACUGCAAUGUUCCCAAAAUUCGAGUGCAAGCAAGUCCCACAGAAAGAAAAAGGAUUAAACUUGUUUCAGGUUAAUUUCCCCUAAAAUGAAAGAUCCAACAAAUUACCAUCCCUUACCUUCUUAUGUGUAAGACACCUCUGACAGUUGAUUUUUAAGAAACCUGAGAAUCCAAUAGGAAACAUUAGGACCUGUUUGAAUAAUCAUAGACACAACAGAACAAUUAGUGAAACUUCAAAACUUUGACUAAAAUUAGUCAAAAUAUGCACAUGCUUAGUAUAUAAAGUUGUAUCAAUAGAUAGUCUAAGAAGUGCAUUCUAAGACAGCGAUGCUUUGACUAAAAAUGUAACUAGCAUUUUUUGUUUCAUAGAAACACCAAGGACCCAACCCAUGGAAAACUUGUGUUAAGAGACAAGAGAACACACAAGGUGGGUAUUUAUCCUCGACCAGCUUGUCAACUUGGAGGGAGCGCUAACUUCUAAAAUCCUCCCGUUCGCUUCAAAACAAAAAACAAGAAGAAGAAUGCACACAAGGAACUUGUAUAUUCAAUUAAAAGCCUAGAAGGAGAACCCAGAGAAGUACCCCAACACACAUAACCAAAAACUACCAUCUACCAUUACGCCACAUUGGUGUCCCCUAAAAGCUAAUAUUGGACAUUAAAAACAUAACCAGUUGUUAAUAGCUAAUUGGCUGCAAAGUAACCCUGAUUGAUAUUAUUUUUCCAAGCCAUAUUACUGUGUAGAUAGUCUAAGAGGUGCAUGUAAGACAGAGCGAUGCAAAAGGAUGGACACUGGAACAGACGACAAAUUGGAUAUACAAAACAAGAAGCAUUAGCGGAGGGAGAGUACAUGAAGAUAAGAUGAUACCUGGUACACUUCAUCUCGUCAAGUAUCCAUUUGAAUGAACCAGAACAUCUGCCAGUCUUGUUUCUAGCACCUUCUUGCCUGAAAGAGGUUUCCAUUCAAUCAUUUGUACACUAGUAGAGAAAUGAAACUUCCACAGUACACUGAACGCAAAAUACAGUAGCAGCAUGGAAUGAAUUCUCUUCAUUCAAAUACAAGAUCUAAGGUAGUGAAUAAAACUGAUCACAUAGGGCAGGUUACAAAGAAUUGAGCAUAGCAUGAUUAUACCUGGUGAUAAAAACAGGAAUAAAAAUUGUUCUGGAUAACGUUUAGCAGACAGUCUUAUAUGCGAUGCAGCGACAUAAAGAUACAAGAUUUGCUACGAAUAGGCUCCUUUGCUAACAUUUGGUCAAUUGGUCCAGGGUUUAUACUGUAAGUAACAUAGUACUUGACUAGCCAGACAAAUAAACAAGUGUAGAGAAUGCUUAAAUGGGCAUAACCCCAUAUAGAUCCUAUGUUUUUUAAAAAAGCAUGUCAUUCCCUACCGAUUGCUUAAUUGAUAAAUAAUUGCAACUGAGUCACUUGUAAAGAAAUAGGAGGAAAUAUUGUUUAGUUCACUAUUGCUCAUAAUCAGUUACUCACAAAUAAUAAUAUUGCAUAACGCAAUACAUCAUAAUGAUAACAGGACUAGAAAUAUGAAACAUUUAAUACCUAGAUAUCCAGAUACCCAAUUUAAAGUUUGUGAUAAGUCGCUUCAGCCCACAGGUGACGUGGCUUAAUCUCAGCCCUCCAUUGUCGAUCCGAUGGUGAGAGUGUGCCACCUCAUAGGGUGGGCAGCUGGCCUUAUGCUCAUAAAAUCCACUCUCUAAGUUAUACCAUGCUGUUCAAAAAAAAAAACAAUAAUGAGCAGUGUUGAUUCAAGGUCAUGAGUACAAUACAAUAACUUUUAUUUUACUCUUGCACAGUGAAUCUUUUGCCUAGAAAACUGCAGCAAAAUAAUACUAGUCCAGGUAUCAUGCUUAAUCGAGACAGACAUCAUGGAAAAUGGAUAUAUGGUCUGUCAUGAUUCAGAAUAGACACAAGAAGUGAGGACAGCAAAUAUUUAGGAACUGGAAUCAUUAAGUCAAGAUUGCAGUAUCCAUAACCGCUUGUGAAGAGGCUUUUAAUUACCUUUCAAGGUACCAGGUUAAUUCGCUAAUUUUUGCUACCUCCUCUUGAGAUAGGAGUGCUGAAACAUCAUCAGAAGGUAGAACUUUUGCAACCUCUUAAAUACCCUCAAAAAAAGCUAAUUUGAAAAUCUACUAAACAACUACUAUUGGAGAUGAUCCACAAAACAAACAAAUCAUACUACUAUGAACAAAUUCGAAGGAUAAGUAAAAAGAAAAAUAUGAAUCUAAAUUGCAAUAUGUGUAAUCAACAUGCAUAUAGAAGAAAACAUAUGAAAUUUAAUCACCUGCAGAUGGGAUACGGCUUGAUUCAAGCCACGAUUAGAGCACACAUGGUUUAAGGAAGUCAGGAAAAUGGUGAAGGGCACUGAGAACCGAACCGACUUCGUCUAUGUCUACAGCGAAAACAAAGUUGCCGCUUGUGACAUAAGCCUUCAGUGGGUCAAUAGCACCAAUCCCUGGUGUGUCCUUAAAUGGGCGGCCAUAAAUCUUGCAGAGUCGGCUACUCGGCUGAGGGCGACAUUGCACUACAGCACCCAGGAGCUGCCGUCAUCUUCAAGGGCAUACGAGCUGAGAAAGGAAGGCUGCUCCUGGGACACCUCGACGUAGCGCAGCUUCCCCUCGCUGACCCCAUUCGGGCAUUCGGCGGUGCCCGCCAAGCGCCUGCGGCGCUUCUACAAAGCGAAGACUCGGCUAAGCGCCACCCGGUGCUCCAGCGUCCAGCCGCUGUCAUCAUCAUCAAGGGCAAAGGAACUGAGCAUGAAAGGCUUCUCCCGGGACACCUCGGCGUAGCGCAGCCUCCCCUCGCUGACCCCCAUGUGGCGGUACCUGCUCUGUACCCGCUGGUCCUCCCAACCCUCCACGGGCUCUGUCACGCUGCCCGUCGGCAGCUCGAUGAAGCGGAGGUCCGGUUGGUCGCUGAACGGGUCGGAGGAGACGACGCACCAGCUCACAUCGACCCACCAGAGCCGGCCGGCCAAGGCCAGCACCUCGCGGUCUAUAUUCAUCCGCCGCGCGAGCGGGAGUGGGGACGGCAAUCCCACCAGCUUCUCCCACUCCCCCGUUUGCGAGAGAAACCGCCGCAUGACGAACCUCCCCUCCUGCCCGUCGCGGUCCUCGCUGAGCACGGCGACGGCGUACCUUUCAGGCGGCCGGUCGGGGCGUUCAGAUUGGGUGAGGAUGCCCAUCUCCGAGAACCACUCCGUCUUCUUCGUGCCGUCGAUGUCCGGGAGGCGGAACAUCUGGCCACUGAGGGGGUUGCAGACGAAUCGCCUCAUGUCGACGUCCAGGUCGACGCCAGUCAGCUUGCGCUCCUGAGUGCCGCCGUGCGUGGCGACGAUGGGGGCGGUGCCGCUUAUAUCCAUGAAGGCGAGGAGGAGGAGGCCGUCGCCGCUCGAGGUUUUGAGGACGCCGCCGUAGAUUAUGGUUACGUCUUCGCCGCGGGGGUCGCGGCUGGGCGGGUCGGCGAGGUGGGCGGGGAUGAUGAGGUGGGAGAGGCACGGGGGCUCGGCGAACCGGAGCGACGCGCGCGGCGCCGUCGAUUCUGCCAGCCUCGCGAGCGGAUGCAUCAUAGCCCACGCAGGGCGCGAGGCGGACGAGGAGAAGCCGCGGCGGAGGCGGCCGGAGACGGCGGCGGAGAGGCCAAGGAUGCGCCGGAGCGGCAUCUCGGAGAAGCGGGCGAGCGGCGCUAGGCGUUGUGCUUGGCUUCUGCGAGAAGGGGAUUUGCGGCUGUGAUUGGGAAGGCCCGGUGCAUAGACACGGUGCGCGCAAGCGCAGCUCGAGCGGCGUCGGCAGCGUGGGGUAGUUCCACCGGGUGAUGUAGGCCGAUCUUCCUCUGGGCCCAGACGCAGUCGCUAUGGUCUAUUGAGGUUGGUCUAGGGACAGCUUUGGGAGCGGCUGGCUGGGAGGGGAAAGUUUGCCACCCUUUUGCUCACAAGACGACGAAGAAGUGAUUUCGAUUUUGAACGACCUGCCCAGCAGACCAUUGAGUGUUCCACGACUUCUCCACAUCGCCGGUUUCCCGCCGAAAUGACCUAGUCCUGGGCUGCUUGGGCCUAGUGAGGUCUUACCAAUCACUUGCGGCCCAACUGCAUCAGUGAAGGCCUCCAGCAGCGCACUUUACCAUUUCGCUAAUGUAAAACUAACGGGCUUUCUAACCAAGUAACGCAAACACUUUAUCAUUUCCGGCUUUGCGUCUGAUCGAACUAUCGAAGCCAAUCAGCACACUUUAUCCAUGCGAACACAAGUGAUCAUACGCGAUGCAUGAAAAGGUCACACUCCAGCAUAUUACAAAUGUCCCAGAAGUUAUCAGGCGAUCAUAAUGCCCCCCAAUAUUCCAGCGGCAUAUGUAUGUUUCAUAACGGUUGAUCAUCGUGUGUCAGGUACUCAGGCGACCCAUUAUAGCCAUACAUCCGGAAGUUGUGUUUACAGAAAAGCUGUGCAGCUUCAAUAGAUCAACA
rnacentral:lncRNA from 1 species